rnacentral:rRNA from 1 species
GCAUAUCAAUAAGCGGAGGAAAAGAAACCAACCGGGAUUGCCUUAGUAACGGCGAGUGAAGCGGCAAAAGCUCAAAUUUGAAAUCUGGUACCUUCGGUGCCCGAGUUGUAAUUUGGAGAGGGCAACUUUGGGGCCGUUCCUUGUCUAUGUUCCUUGGAACAGGACGUCAUAGAGGGUGAGAAUCCCGUGUGGCGAGGAGUGCGGUUCUUAGUAAAGUGCCUUCGAAGAGUCGAGUUGUUUGGGAAUGCAGCUCUAAGUGGGUGGUAAAUUCCAUCUAAAGCUAAAUAUUGGCGAGAGACCGAUAGCGAACAAGUACAGUGAUGGAAAGAUGAAAAGAACUUUGAAAAGAGAGUGAAGAAGUACGUGAAAUUGUUGAAAGGGAAGGGCAUUUGAUCAGACAUGGUGUUUUGUGCCCUCUGCUCCUUGUGGGUAGGGGAAUCUCGCAUUUCACUGGGCCAGCAUCAGUUUUGGUGGCAGGAUAAAUCCAUAGGAAUGUAGCUUGCCUCGGUAAGUAUUAUAGCCUGUGGGAAUACUGCCAGCUGGGACUGAGGACUGCGACGUAAGUCAAGGAUGCUGGCAUAAUGGUUAUAUGCCGCCCGUCUUGAAACACGGACC